rnacentral:rRNA from 1 species
UACGAGUGCCCCGAGCGUUAUCCGGAAUUACUGGGCGUAAAGGGUGUGUAGGUGGUUUGGUUAGUCUGUCGUUAAAACUCCCGGCUUAACCGGGAAGGUGCGAGGGAAACGGCCAAACUAGAGAGGGUGAGAGGCAUAUGGAACUCAUGGUGUAGGGGUGAAAUCCGUUGAUAUCAUGGGGAACGCCAAAGGUGAAGACAGUAUGCUAGCACCUAUCUGACACUGAAACACGAAAGCGUGGGGAUCGAAUGGG